rnacentral:rRNA from 1 species
GCUUCCUACUUGCUUAAGACCGGGGGUGGAUAGUCAACCGCUUUGACCCGGGACGAUAAUGACCUUUCCAGUACAUUAGGCUCCUGAUAGCUCCGUGCCAAUAACCGCCGGAUUACUACGGGCCCUAACGCGGUGCAAAAUUUCUGGUGCUAACGUGCACCUAAAUGGCUGGGCAUAUAACAUGUGCAAGCCGGUAGGUCAAAUCCAGAUUAGCCCCCCGGACUGAAUCUGUGAAUUCCACGAGAGAUUGCUGGACUUCCGUGUGUAAAAGUGAAAUGCAUUUCUAUUUGUAACAACACCAUUGGUAAAUGUGCGUCACAGCACCGAUAUUGACGCUAAUCCCCUAAACCUUGACUAACACUCAUGAUCAAAUACCCUGGUAGUCCACACCAUAAAAUACCCUGAUUAUCCAUGCCCUAUCUGAUAACUACUGUUUGUCGGGUCACGCAUGACUUAAUCCCCCUGCGAACUCCUGACGUUGAACUACUACUCAAUACACUGANCNGGUUUUAAACUCAAA